rnacentral:rRNA from 1 species
AGAGUUUGAUCAUGGCUCAGAAUCAACGCUGGCGGCGUGCCUAACACAUGCAAGUCGAACGAGAAAGUGGAGCAAUCCAUGAGUAAAGUGGCGCACGGGUGAGUAACACGUGACUAACCUACCCUUGAGUGGGGAAUAACUAGGAGAAAUCUUAGCUAAUACCGCAUAACACCUACGGGUCAAAGGAGCAAUUCGCUUAAGGAGGGGGUCGCGGCAGAUUAGUUAGUUGGCGGGGUAAUGGCCCACCAAGACGGUGAUCUGUAUCCGGCCUGAGAGGGCGCACGGACACACUGGAACUGAAACACGGUCCAGACUCCUACGGGAGGCAGCAGUGGGGAAUUUUGCGCAAUGGGGGAAACCCUGACGCAGCAACGCCGCGUGGAGGAUGAAGUCCCUUGGGACGUAAACUCCUUUCGAUCGGGACGAUAAUGACGGUACCGAGAGAAGAAGCCCCGGCUAACUUCGUGCCAGCAGCCGCGGUAAUACGAGGGGGGCGAGCGUUGUUCGGAAUUAUUGGGCGUAAAGGGUGCGUAGGCGGUUCGGUAAGUCUUAUGUGAAAUCUUCGGGCUCAACUCGAAGUCUGCAUGAGAAACUGCCGGGCUUGAGUAUGGGAGAGGUGAGUGGAAUUUCCGGUGUAGCGGUGAAAUGCGUAGAUAUCGGAAGGAACACCUGUGGCGAAAGCGGCUCACUGGACCAUAACUGACGCUGAUGCACGAAAGCUAGGGGAGCAAACAGGAUUAGAUACCCUAGUAGUCC